rnacentral:lncRNA from 1 species
CAGGCAGGCUGCCUCCACCGUAGCCCCCCACGUCACUCAUUCCAGCAGAGGUAAAUGACUGAGGUGCUCUUGAUGCUAACGUAAGAUUUUUUCUGAGGAUCAUAUGUGCAUUAACAGUCUCAAGUAUGUGUGUGGUGAACUCAUUCAUGUUUUCCAGAGGCAUGAUCUUGAAUGCCACCAAACUUUUCUUAUUCUGAAAAGACCGAAGAUGACCAGCGACUUUGACGUAAGUUCCUGGGGGUACCACGAUAUUCUCACUACCUGCCUCAUCAGUGUCAACCCACUGCCGCACGUCCAUGGGCGCCGCUGUCAUGUCGUCCACCUUGUACAGGAUGUUGGUGGGCGCCUUCUCUGCAUGCCUUACGAUGCCCACCACGGUGACCUGCGAGAUCUCCACGUCGUGGAUGCGGAAGGCCUCGUCCACCUGCUCGGCCGCCAGCAGCUGUGACACGGUGCAGGGCACGAUGCUCUGCGAGCGGCUGCGCUGCUUCUUCUCCGCCUGCGCGCCUGUAGGGGAGCUGAAGCCUCCCGGGGACUGCGUGUAGCCGCCCGCAGGGCCGUAGCCGCCGUCGAAGUUACCGUGCCCGCCCCACAUGGCGACAGAGCCCAGCUGCUGCAGCACUCGGUCCGCGAGCACUGCGUCCCGCGCCCCGGCAGCGGG